UACGGGGGGGGCAAGCGUUGUUCGGAAUUACUGGGCGUAAAGGGCUCGUAGGCGGCCAACUAAGUCGGAUGUGAAAUCCCCAGGCUUAACCUGGGAAUUGCAUCCGAUACUGGAUGGCUUGAAUCCGGGAGAGGGAUGCGGAAUUCCAGGUGUAGCGGUGAAAUGCGUAGAUAUCUGGAGGAACACCGGUGGCGAAGGCGGCAUCCUGGACCGGCAUUGACGCUGAGGAGCGAAAGCCAGGGGAGCGAACGGG
rnacentral:rRNA from 1 species